rnacentral:rRNA from 1 species
UAGGGAAUCUUCCGCAAUGGACGAAAGUCUGACGGAGCAACGCCGCGUGAGUGAUGAAGGCUUUCGGGUCGUAAAACUCUGUUGUUAGGGAAGAACAAGUACGAGAGUAACUGCUCGUACCUUGACGGUACCUAACCAGAAAGCCACGGCUAACUACGUGCCAGCAGCCGCGGUAAUACGUAGGUGGCAAGCGUUAUCCGGAAUUAUUGGGCGUAAAGCGCGCGCAGGCGGUUUCUUAAGUCUGAUGUGAAAGCCCACGGCUCAACCGUGGAGGGUCAUUGGAAACUGGGGAACUUGAGUGCAGAAGAGAAAAGCGGAACUCCACGUGUAGCGGUGAAAUGCGUAGAGAUGUGGAGGAACACCAGUGGCGAAGGCGGCUUUUUGGUCUGUAACUGACGCUGAGGCGCGAAAGCGUGGGGAGCAAACAGGAUUAGAUACCCUGGUAGUCCACGCCGUAAACGAUGAGUGCUGAGUGUUAGAGGGUUUCCGCCCUUUAGUGCUGCAGCUAACG